ensembl:snoRNA
CUGCACUACUCAGUUACCAGCUGGCCUUUCCUUGGCCUCCUUGGUCUCAUUCCAGUGCAAGAUCAAUUCCUUCUAGCAGAAGGACCAGGCUCACAUCAUGGUCUGUCCCUUUCGAAAGCUGGGUACAAAC